ACAAGUAGUCAGAGCCCGUUAAUGGGUGAUGGCGUGCCUUUUGUAGAAUGAACCGGCGAGUUACGAUUUGAUGCAAGGUUAAGCAGUAAAUGUGGAGCCGUAGCGAAAGCGAGUCUGAAUAGGGCGUUUAGUAUUUGGUCGUAGACCCGAAACCAGGUGAUCUACCCUUGGUCAGGUUGAAGUUCAGGUAACACUGAAUGGAGGACCGAACCGACUUACGUUGAAAAGUGAGCGGAUGAACUGAGGGUAGCGGAGAAAUUCCAAUCGAACCUGGAGAUAGCUGGUUCUCUCCGAAAUAGCUUUAGGGCUAGCCUCAAGUGAUGAUUAUUGGAGGUAGAGCACUGUUUGGACGAGGGGCCCCUCUCGGGUUACCGAAUUCAGACAAACUCCGAAUGCCAAUUAAUUUAACUUGGGAGUCAGAACAUGGGUGAUAAGGUCCGUGUUCGAAAGGGAAACAGCCCAGACCACCAGCUAAGGUCCCAAAAUAUAUGUUAAGUGGAAAAGGAUGUGGCGUUGCCCAGACAACUAGGAUGUUGGCUUAGAAGCAGCCAUCAUUUAAAGAGUGCGUAAUAGCUCACUAGUCGAGUGACACUGCGCCGAAAAUGUACCGGGGCUAAACAUAUUACCGAAGCUGUGGAUUGUCCUUUGGACAAUGGUAGGAGAGCGUUCUAAGGGCGUUGAAGCAUGAUCGUAAGGACAUGUGGAGCGCUUAGAAGUGAGAAUGCCGGUGUGAGUAGCGAAAGACGGGUGAGAAUCCCGUCCACCGAUUGACUAAGGUUUCCAGAGGAAGGCUCGUCCGCUCUGGGUUAGUCGGGUCCUAAGCUGAGGCCGACAGGCGUAGGCGAUGGAUAACAGGUUGAUAUUCCUGUACCACCUAUAAUCGUUUUAAUCGAUGGGGGGACGCAGUAGGAUAGGCGAAGCGUGCGAUUGGAUUGCACGUCUAAGCAGUAAGGCUGAG
rnacentral:rRNA from 1 species